UACGUAGGGUCCGAGCGUUGUCCGGAAUUACUGGGCGUAAAGAGCUCGUAGGUGGUUUGUCGCGUUGUUCGUGAAAACUCACAGCUCAACUGUGGGCGUGCGGGCGAUACGGGCAGACUGGAGUACUGCAGGGGAGACUGGAAUUCCUGGUGUAGCGGUGGAAUGCGCAGAUAUCAGGAGGAACACCAAUAGCGAAGGCAGCUCGCUGGGACGUGACUGACACUAAGGCGCGAAAGCGUGGGGAGCGAACAGG
rnacentral:rRNA from 1 species